UACAGAGGGGGCAAGCGUUGUUCGGAAUCACUGGGCGUAAAGGGCGUGUAGGCGGUCCGCUAAGUCUGAUGUGAAAGCCCGGGGCUCACCCCCGGAAGUGCAUCGGAAACUGGCGGACUCGAGUCCCGGAGAGGAGAGUGGAAUUCCUGGUGUAGCGGUGAAAUGCGUAGAUAUCAGGAGGAACACCGGUGGCGAAGGCGGCUCUCUGGACGGUGACUGACGCUGAGACGCGAAAGCGUGGGGAGCAAACAGG
rnacentral:rRNA from 1 species